rnacentral:lncRNA from 1 species
CUCAUUUGUGAAUUUUUCUCUCUCAAACUCACAUUUUCUUCUCAGAUUUCCCAAUCUCUCUUAUUUUUUAUUUUAGGUUUCUCUGUUAUACCUGAUUAAGGUUUUUCAAGCUGACCAGCUCCAAUCCUCCCAUUUCAAAAACACUCACUCUCCGUUCACUCUCCGUUCACUCUCCGUUCACUCUCCGUUCACUCUCCGUUCACUCUCCGUUCACUCUCUGUUCACUCUCCGUUCACUCUCCGUUCACUCUUGCAAUCCCAAAUGAUUUCUGUGUCACAGUUGGAUUUGAGUGGUUGGACCCAAUCGAUUUUGCUAGUGUUCUUUGCUGCUUCAAGGCAAGAUUUACUAUCGUCGUAGGCACUGUUCUUCCCUUUGUAGGCACUGUUAUUCCCUUUCUCUUUAUAAAUAUUCGUUUUCGAUUCACAUUUAUUCCCUAUCAUUCACAAUUGUUAGUUUUCAUCUCUUGGCUUCAAUAUAUUUAGUUUCAUUCCACUUCCAUUUUCAUUCCCUUUUGUGCCCUAGCUUCAAUCUAGGUCGGCAUUGUUUGGUUCUUCACUGCUUCAAGGAAAGGUAAGUUUAAUAGAAAAAUCUGUGAUUUAGGGAUUUGGUUUUUGUUUAGAAACUUUGUAAUAGAAAACGUUGAUGUUAACGAGUUGUUUACUGACUUUUGGGAAAUGUUUAUAGAAUUUGGAAUAAAUGAAUAAUGAUUUGUGGUUACUUGUCUAUUAUUGUGCAUGACAACUAUUUAAUUUGUACUUCUAAAGAUGUUGAAUUCAACCCUGAAGGGUCCAACAAAGCAGCAGAUCUGUCUUCGUUUGUUUGUAUGUGUGUUUUUAUUUUAUAUAUGUUUGAAGUGAAAAGUGUACAUAUUUAUUAGUAUGUGGUGUGAUUUUGAUGGCAUUAUACUUGAUACACUUUGUGUUUGUUUAUAUAAUUUUUGGUCUCCAGGAUCCAGAUUGUUAAAAAGGAACAUCCUUUUGAGAUUGCUAGAAGCAGAGCUCACUUAAGCCCUGGUGGAAGAACUGAGGACAAUACUAGUAUGAGGCGACAAAUGCAUGGAGUUGCUUUAGAUGUAAGCAAUUUGUAGAUGCUUGAUGAGAAGAGAUAUCUUUGAUCUUUUCUCUUGCAUACUUCAGAAUACAAAACCUGUUGACCAUCAGGUAUUUCUAGUAUUGAUUGUUUUUUCUGGUUUGGUAGACAAUUGGUAAUUCUCAUGGUUGCAUCAUCUGAUCACUGAUUUCUUUGAUUUUGCUCAUGUGCUGACUGUAGGACCUUGUUGGUUUAGUAAUCUCAAUGUUGCUUCUAGGAGAUUAUAGUUUAGUAUUACUUUGCUUCAUAAAUGUUGUGUGUAAUCUAUCAAAUUUCAGCUGGUUGGGGACCUAUCUUUUUUUUUUUUUUUUUUUUUUUUUUUUGUAGUGCAUGUAGUUCUUCUUAACAAGCCUACUGACAUGUCAUUAGCUUGUACUUUUUAAAAUAUGCAUAGAAAUAAGUUCCCAAGUUAUACACACAAUUGAUCCUUUCUCAAGGAGCCAGGUUAAAGCCAUAGAUUAGGACAUGGAUCUUCUAUAUCAGUAGUACUAUUUGUUGUAGUCUAAGCACUUUGAAACAAUCAAAGUUUUGUUGUACUUAUUCUUCUUGUUUAGCCAAAGAAACCUAGUACAAGGAGAUGAAAACUUUGUUUCUUAAUUACCUGUAUCGAUGUGUGUUAGACUAUUUGAGAAAUUUAUAUCUUUGUAUCUAAUUGAUCCAAACUUUUGAUAGAGUCGUAGGUUGGUCUGGUGUCAAUGGUUAGUCUACCAAGGAGAAGAAAACGUUGUUUCUUAUAAUUAGAUGCCAGUGUCAAUUAUCCACGGAAUAAUGUUACACUCAAGGGUCAUCUUCUCAUUCAAGUUUGUCUUAUGAGUAUUUAAUAUUUCUACCAAUUAAUAUUGUAUUCUUUUGUUCUCCUUUUUUGUAGUAGAUAGUUCGUUUAACUUAUGCAGUUCUUUGUCGGUGGCAGGUAAGUGAGCUGGAGAAGUUGGGUUGCUCUGCUGAUUGGAAGAAUGUGCUUGUUGACUUCUUUGGAACGCAACAAAUAUAAGUAUUCAAACUAUUGUUUCGUUUGAUUGCUUGAAUGACGAUUUGAUUGCUUGCAUGACGAGAGUAUGGUUGUUGUGGCAAUUGAUUUUCUUAAUGUAAUAUUGUUACUUUGUGAUAAGAUGGGCUCUAUGGCCAAAAUUAAAUGGUUAAAAGAUUUAUAUUGGAUGGAACUAAGUUAGUUUAAUUAUUUCACAUUUCAUUAUUUUCUAUGCCACAUGUUUCAUGUUAACUAUGCCACAUUUUCACAUAAAAUAUGUUUGAAUUUGGAUUUGUUGGUUCUAACUAUCGGAAUUUUUCUUGUUGGUUCUAACAUAUGAUUUAUGCCAGUGUUAAGAGCGGGGAUCUCAUGAAUUGUAUAGGGGAAUUAGAGACAAACACUUACACGUUGGCAGUGGUGUGUCAUCCCCAAAUGAUAUAAGAGGAUCAAGUGGUGAAAGAAAAAUAGAUUAGGGUUAGGAUAACAAUUUUAAAUGUAAAAUUGUCUUAUGGUUUAACAAUUUUCAAUUCUUUUUUCUUUCAUAUUCAAAAACUUUGAUAUUUUGAUGUAAUUAUCAAAUGCACCAUAUGAUUGUACUUGUGAAUGAAUGAUUUAAGUACUUUGUUAUCUUAAAUUAU